rnacentral:rRNA from 1 species
CGCCUACUAAUUAAAUAGUAGGUAGAUUCUGCCCAAUGAUACUUAAAUGGCCGCAGUAUUCUAACUGUGCUAAGGUAGCAUAAUAACUUGUCCUUUAAUUGAGGGCUGGAAUGAAUGAACUGACGAAGAGUAAAUUGUCUCUGUAAAUAAACAAUAAAUUUAUAUCUAUGUAAAAAAGCCUAGAUAAUGUAAGGGGACGAUAAGACCCUAGAAGCUUUACCCUUAAAGCUUUUUAAAAUACUUAAUUCAAAAGACUAGUUGGGUUUUUACUGGGGCGGUAAUUCUUUUAACAAGAGUUUUUAAAACACUCUGAGUGAAUUCACUUAACUUAUCUAUAAAAUAAAACUAAGUUACUCUAGGGAUAACAGCGUAAUUCUCUGCUAGAGCUCUUAUCGACCAGAGAGUUUGCGACCUCGAUGUUGAAUUGAAAUCCUACUUAGAGCAGCAUCUAAGUAAAGGAAGACUGUUCGUCUGUUAAAUCUUCACA